rnacentral:rRNA from 1 species
UUGCCAGCCCGCUCAGAACUCAAUGAAUUGACGGGGCCCGCACAAGCGGUGGAGCAUGUGGUUUAAUUCGAUGAUACGCGAGGAACCUUACCUGGGCUCAAAUGUAUGUUGACGUAUUCUGAAAGGGAUACUUCUUCGGACAAUAUACAAGGUGCUGCAUGGUUGUCGUCAGCUCGUGCCGUGAGGUGUCGGGUUAAGUCCCAUAACGAGCGCAACCCCUACCUUUAGUUGCCAUCAGGUUAAGCUGGGGACUCUAAAGGAACUGCCUACGCAAGUAGUGAGGAAGGCGGGGAUGACGUCAAAUCAGCACGGCCCUUACGUCCAGGGCUACACACGUGCUACAAUGGCCGAUACAGAGGGCAGCUACCUGGUGACAGGAUGCAAAUCUCCAAAGUCGGUCUCAGUUCGGAUCGGAGUCUGCAACCCGACUCCGUGAAGUUGGAUUCGCUAGUAAUCGCGCAUCAGCCAUGGCGCGGUGAAUACGUUCCCGGGCCUU